rnacentral:lncRNA from 1 species
AGCUCAUGCCUCUUGGAACACAUGGGGCAGCUGUGUGCACCUCAGAUGGAGCAGCCAAAAAGAGCUCAGAGCUUUGGUCCUGACUUUGCAGCCCAAGUGAGAUCAUGGGUUUUGUACUCCAGGCACUGUGCUAGGCACCAGGACUAUAAUACAACUUGUGAUCUGUAGAGGAGUCAGACAAUUAUCCAGGCAUCCCAAAGAAAUGUCAAUUGCAAGCCUGGAUCCCUUUUUCCCUGGAGGCUGUUCUGAAGAUGGCACCCUACCUGCUCACCUUUUAGUGUACCUGGGCACCCAUGCCUCCAUAUGGUGACCCUCAAAUCAUACUGUAUGAAGAGCAGCUGUUUUGUCAACUAUUUUUUAAUGAGAUUUUUUUUGCUUUGGUUUAAAAAAUAGCAUAUAUUUGCGUUAGAAAAUUAGAAAUACAGAAGAAACAGAAAUAUAAAAGAAUUACCUAUAACAUGCAAAAAUGACUAGUACAAAUGUUUUUGUUUUUUUACAGUAUGUGAACAUAUUGUAUGUUUAUAUUAAUAUCCAUAGUAUUUAUUUUUGCCUACAUGUUUUACUUAACAUAUGUAGUAAGCAUUUCCCAUGUUAGUCAAAUUAUUUGUGGACAUUAUUUUUAAUGACUAUUAAUGUUAUUACUCUACAGCUUGCCGAAUAAGUCUCCUAUUAUAUGUCAUUUUGGGUCCUAGCAACAUUUUUGUGUUUAAAUCCUUGUAGCAGUUUUGACUGAUUUCCUUAAGAUAGAGUCCAAGAAGAGAAAUAAUUUGCUUGUUUGUUUAUCAUUUGGUACUUUCUUUUAUGGUAAUGUCCUUGGGGCUGAUAAUUCAGAACCAUGAAUAGAUAUGAUUCUUGUCUUUGAGGAGAUUGUAGCCUUGUGCUAGGUUAAAGAAUAGGCACGUUUUAAAGUUCUCGAUACACAUUUUCAAAGUGCUUUUCAAAAAUUUGUAUCAAUUCAUCCUUCUACUAUAAGGGAAAAUCUGUUCUGGGUUGUUUUUCUGGUAUAUCUUCCUAUUAAGAACCUGUUCUCCCUCCUGCUUUGUGACUCACAUGGAGUUGCCACUGCAUGCUAUCAUCUCCAUCCCUUAGAGCAACCUAUUAGAGAACUUACUCUCUGGAGUCCCAAAAGAGAAACAACAGCAACAACUCAGCAAUUCAUCUGGGGUCAGCGUGUUACCCAGUCUGGGCCAUUGGAGAUUUUUUUAAAGGGAAGUUUCUCCUAUUUUCUUCAAAAUUCUGAGCUGUGAAGAGGACCACUAGAAAGUUCAAUCUAUUUAUGAUUUUUUAAAAAACUGUUAUUAUAUAUAUUUAAGUGUAUGUCAUGUUUCCACACAUAUAUACAUAGUGAAAUGAUCACUGUAAUCAAGCUAAUUAGAAUAUCCCCCAUCUCGCAUAGUCACCUUUGUGUGUGAAAAGGGUUCAGUGCUUCCCUCUCCACUCUUCAUCUCCCCUUUAAAAAAGCAGAGAUGAAUGGAGAGGGAAAGGUUGAACAAUGGUUAUGUGGUGGGACUGCUGGGAUUCACCUGAGAGUUAAAACCAGCUAGUUCUACCCGUAUGUUUUUCACUUAGAUAAGCCAACAAAUUAAUUUCUUUUCCUCUAUUCUUCUUGUCUUCUUUCCUGCCUCUUUACCUGUCUCCCUUCCUUCCUCUCUUCCCACUCUCUUUCUUUCCUUAUUUAAAUUGGUUUGAAUUGAGUUUCUGACACUAAUGGAGAGUCCUUAUUGUGCCUUCACGUUAUUUUUAUCAAACCAGAAAAUGUUAAUGACAUAAAACAAUUACUGUUUGGACAAGGAAAAUUGUAUUUCUUUCCUUGAAAUUUCUACACACAUACACAUUUGUGCUUGUUAGUGAGGCUAAGCAUUUUCCCCCUUAUUUGUGAAUUAUAUAUUCAAUGUUUUGAUCCAUUUAUCAAAUAAAUUCCUUAGUUUAAAAAAUAUUUGCAGGUGCGGUUAUUAUGGAAAGCAGCAUGAAGUUUCCUCUAAAUAUUAAAAAUAGAAUCACCACAUGACUCAGCAAUCCCUCCUCUCUAUAUAUUUUUAAAGGAAAUGAAAUCAGCACUUCAUGGAACUAUCUCCACUCCCGGCUGGGCGCAGUGGCUCACGCCUGUAAUCCCAGCACUUUGGAAGGCCAAGGCAGGUGGAUCACGAGGUCAAGAGAUGGAGACCAUCCUGGCCGACAUGGUGAAACCCUGCCUCUACUAAAAAUACAAAAAUUAGCUGGGCGGGGAGGCACAUGCCUGUAAUCCCAGCCACUCGGGAGGCUGAGACAGGAGAAUCGCUUCAACCUGGGAGGCGGAGGUUGCAGUGGCUGAGAUCGCACCACUGCAGUCCAACCUGGUGACAGAGGGAGACUCCAUCAAAAAAAAAAAAAAGAAAAAAAGAAAUAUCUCCACUCUUAUAGUCAUUGAAGCAUAAUUAACAAUAACCAAGCUAUGAAAUCAAUGUAAGUGCCCAUCAAUGGAUGAGUGGAUAAAGAAAAUGUUACACACACACACACACACACACACACACACACACAGUGGAAUUUCAUGUAGCCUUAAAAAAGAAGACGAUUUUGUUAUUUAUAACAUGCCUGAAUGUGGAGGACAUUAGGUUAAGUGAAAUAAGCCAGAAAGAAAAAUACUGCAUGAUCUUACUUAUAUGUGGAAUCUAAAAACGUCAAGUACAAAAAAGCAAAAAGUAGAAUAGUGGUUGCUGGGAUCUGGGGCUGAGAUUAUGAUGGGCAAAUGGGAAGAAAUUGAGUGCAGAGUUUUGAUUAGGAUCAAUAAGUCUAGAGAGCAAAUGUACAGCAUGAAGACUAUAGUUACUACUGGGUUGUAUACUGGAAAUUUGCUAAGAAAGUAGGUUGUAGGUCCUCUUACCAUACACACAUAUACAGGUAACUAUGCGAGAUGAUGGAUAUUCUAAUUAGAUUGACUGUAGUAAUCAUUUCACUAUGUAUGUGUAUGAAAACAUGACAUACACCUUAAAUAUAUAUAAUAACAUUAAAAAAACCCAAAAUCUUGAAAAGAUUAUUAAGCUUUCCAAUGCCCAAGAAAAGGAAGAAAAGAAAAAGAAACUGCCACAGCUUAUUUUAAAAAUAAAAGUGGGCUCUCUUUUUAAAAUAUUAAUUUUAUAGUACCUUAUCUGGUAACCAAAAUAUUUUUAAAUAUUCUGAUGCUAUUAUAGUAUAAUCAUUCUUUAAUAAUUUUGUAGAUUUCACUUUACUGAACAAAGCCCUAAACAAAAACAUUGAAUAUGACAAAAACUUGCAUAAGUUUAUUUCAUACUGAAGACAUAUAUGCUAUAGAUUUGUAGAAAUACUUCCCACUUGGUUACUUGCUUAUGUUAUGAGUUUUUACCUACAGAAACUUGCUUUUUUUCUUGUAAAAUUUAGAUUAAUUUCUUUGGUAUGUUUUCCUACUGCUUUAAAACUUCAGAAUUCCUUUUUUCAUAGAACUUUUCUAUUUUCACUUAGAAACAUUCAGAACUUAUGUUAGUGUGUGAUUUGAGGUGGUUUUUGUGUUGACUUUGUUUCCUACCUUGUUAGCUAUUUUUUCUAUGCCAUUGUGGAAUAAUUUGUUAAUUUUCAGUGGAUUCAUAAUGCCUUUAAAAAAUAAGGUUGUGUUCUCAGAGGUGAUAAAUUUUAUUUAUUUAUGAUGCUCCAUCUAUGUUAAGGCUAUUUGUAAGUCUAUGUGUAUGGUAGGAUUUUAGUUCUACACUGCAUCUUACACAGGUUAGUAAAAUAUAGCACAUUUAUUAAUUAUUUAGAGUAUAGGAUUACGUAUUGAUAAGUACAAGCUAUUGAGCCUUCCCAUGUCCUAGGCACUUUGCUGAAUUUUAAUCCUUAUCACAACUCAAUGGGAUAGAUACUGUUGUCAUCUUUUGUAGACAUGGGUUUAUUAUAGCUAUUUUAAAAUGAGUUAGCAAAUUCAAAUUUCAAAAAUUCUAUUUUUAUUUCUAAUAUGGUAAAUAUUGAUAAAUAAAAUUUAUAUAAACAAAUAUUUUGAUGUACUCAGUAACCCAUAAGGGUAUAUAAGAGCCCUGAAAUGAAAAAGUUUGAGAACUGCUUAUAAGCCCUAUAUAAUUAUUAGGUAUUAAUAUCAUUAUUAAUUUUUGAAUCUAUAUUCAAAUAUAGUUAUCAUAAAAUGAACUUCAUAUAUGUAAGUGUAUACUUUGAUGUGUUUUGAC